rnacentral:misc_RNA from 1 species
GAUGAAGAACGUAGUGAAAUGCGAUAAGUAAUGCGAAUUGCAGAAUUUCCGUGAGUCAUCGAAUCUUUGAACGCACAUUGCGCCCACUGGUAUUCCGGUGGGCAUGCCUGUUCGAGCGUCAUUAUCCUCCCUCAAACCCCGGGUUUGGUGUUGGACCCAAGUUGUGUGAACAACUGGUCUCAAAGACAAUGACGGCGUCCGUGGGACCCUCGGUGCAACGAGCUUUUAGGAGCACGCAUCGAGUUGCAAGGACCUUCCGGGCCGGUCUCCUUUACCAUUUUACAAGGUUGACCUCGGAUCAGGUAGGAAUACCCGCUGAACUUAAGCAUAUCAUAAGCGGAGGA